UUAUAAUUAUAUUUUUAUAUAGUUUUCUUUCAACUGUUUAAGCAAAAAGCGGCUUUCGUUUGACUCGGUGUGCAAUUAAUUUGCCGGCAAUAAUGAAAUCUAGGACAAAAUGCUGGCAAAAGGAAAAUCGUUGACAGUUGACUGCAUGCGGCACUCAGUUUUCCAUUUUCCCAUUUUUCCUUGUCAUUUUUAUUUCACAUUUCCCUUCGACGCUCCCUUCUACUGUUUCUUGUCUUGUGUUGUGUUGUACAUAUGGAAGAAGUUGCGAGUAUUCCAUGGUAUUCGAUUUAAUGAAAUUAUUCAGGUGUUCCAGGUGUGCGAUUGUCUGUUUGCCAGCCAUACCAAGGCACUGCCAUGGCCUACAUAGCAACCCUAUGGUUGCAGAAGCAGAGUUGCCAAGGUGUUAUCUCAAAAUCCUACUCCUUUUUGGCCCAAGUCUGUAACACACACACACAUCGACCCACUCAAGAAGGUAUCUGCAUAUUGAAUGGAAAGCAGGCUUAGAUAAAAGGAUGAUGAUGAGGUUGAAGCCCUAGAGGAUCCUCUUAGUUCCCAAGGAUUCGAACAGAGGAUGGAUGUCCAAUACUUACUUCCGCGGAAAUCAUUUCGAGUGUUUCCUGUACAGGUCCAGAGGCCGAACGCACUUCCCAGCUGCACUGAUUGACGUUUCAUUAAUAUGGAUUAAGAGCCACAAUGCAAAAUGAGGGGCCGUUGUGCAAUUGAAACAAUUGUUAAUUGCAAAAUGGAUAUAAUAAAGGCAAUGAAAUAAUUAAGCCACCCCUUGAACCCCCAAGGUGAAUUGAAAAUGCUUGCAAAUGUUUUCUUUAUGAUUUUCUUUUGUUUUCUCUUUUGGUUUGCUGUUGUUUUUUGUUUUUGUUUUUGUAUAAUUCAGAUUACAUUUUAUUAUUAAGAAUGAAUUGAAUUAUUUUCUGCUGGUUUCUGAUUUCUGAUUUCAGAUUUCUGGUUUUUUUCUUCAACUGGGUUUGAUGCGGCUUUAACGGCGUUUUCCAACACUUGCCUUUAACGGUUCAUUUUUUGGGUUUUGGUUUUUGUUUUUUUGGGACCAGCGGAUGCAUGCGGUUUUUGUUUCAGUGUCGGGCUGUUUUCUUUUGUUGAAUCAUAAUAAUCGUAAUAAUCAUAAUGCAGUAUGACAUAAUAUAUAUAAUCUGUCCCAUAUAUAUGCGUGUAUAUGUUUAGAGAUUCAUAUAUACUAUAUAUCUGUGUAUAUAUAAUUCGAUUUACCUAAAAACAAUUUACAAAUAUAUAAAAACGAAUUCACCUAUUAAACUAAAACUACAUGUGUGUGUGUGUCUGUUUUGGGUGUGAUGUGUGUGUUUCUUUUACUUUUUUUCUUUUCGGAGUGAGUGAUAGUUUAUAAAAAAAUGAUUUCCUUCCUUGAUUCCUUGUGUUGUUCAUCUCGAUUUCGGUUUUUAUGCAACAUUCGUGUGCCACUAUACUCCCCCUUAUCGUCCCUCCAGCUCGUGUCUCUUGGCCUGUUUUGUUUACAGUCGAGCCACAUACACAAAUAAUAUAUUGGUUUAUCUGUUGAUUUUCGAGAUUUAUUUAUGCUCGGGCACGGACAUUAAAAAACCGAAUAGUAUUGUUUGAAAUUAAACAUGCUCUGCUGAGUCUAGCCCGUUGAAAGUCAAAUAACGGAAUGAGUCGAUGCAUGUUACUCAUACGCCGCGUUGUGCCGCCGGCCCAUGGCAUAACACUCAUACGCCCCAUGGUACAGGUACGCGAGGGAAAAUCCUAAGGGCGAGGCAAAGACGUCACUGGGAAACUAGAUUUUGUUUAAAAGAUUUCUUGAAAUGAUUUUGCAUUCACCAAUGAAACGAAAUAAUGAAACUGUUCAUCAGUCUAUUAUGGCCAGUGUUCACUGUACCGUGCGUGUGACUCUUCAACUUUUGUUCCUUUUCUCUUGACAUAUUGCUUUUUUUUCUUAAUUAUUCACCUUAAAAAGCGAAUUGCUGUGUCUGUUAGUGUGUGAGUAUGAUGUUUUUGAAAAGUUCCCCAUUUUUUUUUUAGCUGCAGCUUGUGAGUGUGUGUGUGUGUGAGUGUGAUAGAGGUGUGUGUGCAACAGUCGGCCUAAAGCUACUUAAUCAUAUAUAUAAUAUAUAAUUUGCCUUCUUUUCAUAUAUAUGUUUUGUAUGUAUAAUUUUUUUUUUUUACCUUCUUCGGGUUCUCUGAAUGUUUUUCUCCUUUCCGUUUUGAAUUGUUUAUCUUUUUUUAAUGGGAGUUUAGAUUUUUUAUCAUUUUCUUUCUGUUUUUUUUUUCUUUUAUAUAAAUGUAAAUAUCGUAACAUAAUAAAUAUGCCGUAUAUAUGCUAAAUUUAAAUGUUAAUGUACUCAUUUUACACCUCGAAGAGUUCGCAUUUUUAUUUGUUUUUUUUUUUGUCUGUUUAGUAUUAUUUAAAAAUGUAACCGUUUGUCUCACUAAAAACUUAGCAUACAAAUUUAACAAUACAUAUAUCAUUAUAUAGAUACAUACAUACAUUUAUGUUCUUGUUGCCAGCGACCGCUUAAACCAACUUAACUUCAAUUUAUAUUUUAGAUUAACUUUCUGUCGUCAGUUUAUUUUUGUUUUGUUUUGUUUUUUUCUCUUUUUCUUUAUUAUGGAUAAUUUUUAACAAAGUUGUGUAUUUUUUUUGUCGGGAUUUAUUUUGUUUUGAGUUUGAAAGCUGCUCCCUUGCUUUGUAUAAAUUAAAACUAGUUUUGUAUUCUCUAUAUUGUAUAUAUGGUUUGUAUAUAUAUAAAGUACUUUAGUUUUCUUCAUUUUUAUAUUAUUUAUUCUUUUUUCGUUUAAGGCCAAAAAUGUCGAACUUAAAUUUGUCCAAAUCUAUCGAUUACACUAAACAUAGAUUUUAUUUCAAUUGAAAUAUAUGUAUAUUGUUGUAGUCCUCGUCCCAGUUCUAUGUUAGCUAGUGUUUCAGGCAAAGGUUUCGGUUUUCUUGAGAAAUCUUGCAAAAUAAUUGUAUUUAUUUUGGAAUUUGCAAAAUGUAAUUUAUUUGAUUGUUUUUAAGAUGUUGUUGUAUACAUUUUUCUUCUAUUUAUAAAUGUUCUUGUUAUAAUUAAUGUUAAUUAAUUAAUAAUUAUGCCUGCCUUCGGAAAUUGUUUACUUGAAUAAUUACCAAAAAGUCCUUUUUUUUGAUUUAUUAAGCAUUUAAAUUUAGUAAAAAAUGUUUCACUUUCGGGAUGGGAGACUUGGGAGGGGAUUGGGUCGAGGGGGGUAAAAA